rnacentral:piRNA from 1 species
UGAAUGGCCAGAUGCUUAUAGGAAACUGC